UGAUAGUUCCACGCGGUCAGAAGGGUCAUCCUGGCUUAGGAGAGGGGCAGAAGAGGAAAUGCAUGCGUGGAAACAGGAGUGGGCAGGGAGGAUGUGACACUGUCCUCCUCACCAGGCCACGUUCCUGGCACCAACCAUAGUGUUUGGGCAGAUAAGAAAAGAAACAAUUUGCUGAAACUCCCUCUGCUUGUAACACAACUGACUGAAAUCAGCCGGAAUCAAUAUGGCCAAAUGCAGUUUGCGCACAGCAAGCUUGCUGUUGUCACAGCCUGAAUUUCUACUGCAUGUUUCAUACGAACUCCCUCCAAAUUUGCACAUGGGACCUACCAGGAAGCAUGAAGAGAGAGCCAUGCAUGCCUGAAGACUUCCCAGAUGUUCCCUUUGCUUCCACCAAUCACCUGCUAAUCCCAGGAUCCAACCCUAAACCUUUUGUAAUAAAAUUACUGCCCUAAAGCCAGUACAAGAAGACAGAUUUGAACUGGACUUCUGUUUCCUCAGAAGUUAACUUGCAAUGUGAAGCUUUCCUUUUCUCAAAAACUUGGUGUCAUAGUGUUGGCUUCUAGUGCAGUGAGCCCCUUUUGCUGGAUAACACUACCUGGUAAUUUGACAUACUAGGUGGUUAGUAACUACUGACUGUCUCCAGGUUACAACACAGUUAUUACCUACUUGGGUGAAAAGAGAAGACAGGAAAUACAUUUUGGAGUUGGCUGGCAACCUGUUUACAAAGCGAUUUACAACAGUUCUUUAUUCUUAAGGGGCUAUUCUAAUAUAAGACCUCAGAGAAACAGUGCAGUGUGACAAAGGAGGAAUUUAUCAAAUGAGACAGAAAAAGCAUCAAGGCAAGCUGUGAAAUGGUGCGGUAGGAACC
rnacentral:antisense_RNA from 1 species